UACGUAGGGUGCAAGCGUUGUCCGGAAUUAUUGGGCGUAAAGAGCUCGUAGGCGGUUUGUCGCGUCGACUGUGAAAACCCGAGGCUUAACCUCGGGCCUGCAGUCGAUACGGGCAGACUAGAGUUCGGUAGGGGAGACUGGAAUUCCUGGUGUAGCGGUGAAAUGCGCAGAUAUCAGGAAGAACACCCGUGGCGAAGGCGGCUCUCUGGGACGGUACUGACGCUGAGACGCGAAAGCGUGGGGAGCGAACAGG
rnacentral:rRNA from 1 species